CCUACGGGAGGCUGCAGUAGGGAAUCUUCCACAAUGGGCGCAAGCCUGAUGGAGCAACACCGCGUGAGUGAAGAAGGGUUUCGGCUCGUAAAGCUCUGUUGUUGGAGAGGAACGUGCGUGGGAGUAUCUGUUCACGCAGUGACGGUAUCCAACCAGAAAGUCCCGGCUAACUCCGUGCCAGCAGCCGCGGUAAUACGGAGGUGGCAAGCGUUAUCCGGAUUUAUUGGGCGUAAAGCGAGCGCAGGCGGUUGCUUAGGUCUGAUGUGAAAGCCUUGGGCUUAACCGAAGAAGUGCAUCGGAAACAGGGCGACUUGAGUGUAGAAGAGGAGAGUGGAAUUCCAUGUGUAGCGGUGGAAUGCGUAGAUAUAUGGAAGAACACCAGUGGCGAAGGCGGCUGCCUGGUCUGCAACUGACGCUGAGGUUCGAAAGCAUGGGUAGCGAACAGGAUUAGAUACCCGAGUAGUC
rnacentral:rRNA from 1 species